AAGAUUUUCUAACAGAAUAUACGCAAAGUAUUUUGAUUUAUUUGAAAAUAAUUGAAAAUAGAUUUUUCAAAGACGGUGUCGAGGUCACGGGGUCGGUGUCGUUUUUCGAAAUUUGUUAACUUAAUAUAAUAGAAGAUGUUUCGUUUUAAAUUAAGAAAUGUUAAAAUUAUUAAGUUAAAAACAUUUGAUUUUAAUGACACUUAAAAUUAGACACAAUAUUAUAGGUUACUAACUAAAAAUUGAAAAUACAACAAUAAAUAAUAAAAAAUAAUAAUAAAAAAUUGAAAAAAUCAAAAAAUUCUUAAAAAAUUGCAAAAUAACCAUUUUUUGGGUUAAAAUUGAAAAAUAACCCUUUUUCGGGUUAAAAUUGAAAAAAGAUGUUACAUAAAAAUAGUUUGUAAGAUUUUCUAACAGAAUAUACGCAAAGUAUUUUGAUUUAUUUGAAAAUAAUUGAAAAUAGAUUUUUCAAGGACGGUGUCGAGGUCACGGGGUCGGUGUCGUUUUUCGAAAUUUGUUAACUUAAUAUAAUAGAAGAUGUUUCGUUUUAAAUUAAGAAAUGUUAAAAUUAUUAAGUUAAAAACAUUUGAUUUUAAUGACACUUAAAAUUAGACACAAUAUUAUAGGUUACUAACUAAAAAUUGAAAAUACAACAAUAAAUAAUAAAAAAUAAUAAUAAAAAAUUGAAAAAAUCAAAAAAUUCUUAAAAAAUUGCAAAAUAACCAUUUUUUGGGUUAAAAUUGAAAAAUAACCCUUUUUCGGGUUAAAAUUGAAAAAAGAUGUUACAUAAAAAUAGUUUGUAAGAUUUUCUAACAGCAUAUAUGCAAAGUAUUUUGAUUUAUUUGAAAAUAAUUGAAAAUAGAUUUUUCAAGGACGGUGUCGAGGUCACGGGGUCGGUGUCGUUUUUCAAAAUUUGUUAACUUAAUAUAAUAGAAGAUGUUUCGUUUUAAAUUAAGAAAUGUUAAAAUUAUUAAGUUAAAAACAUUUGAUUUUAAUGACACUUAAAAUUAGACACAAUAUUAUAGGUUACUAACUAAAAAUUGAAAAAACAACAAUAAAUAAUAAAAAAUAAUAAUAAAAAAUUGAAAAAAUCAAAAAAUUCUUAAAAAAUUGCAAAAUAACCCUUUUUUGGGUUAAAAUUGAAAAAUAACCCUUUUUCGGGUUAAAAUUGAAAAAAGAUGUUACAUAAAAAUAGUUUGUAAGAUUUUCUAACAGCAUAUAUGCAAAGUAUUUUGAUUUAUUUGAAAAUAAUUGAAAAUAGAUUUUUCAAGGACGGUGUCGAGGUCACGGGGUCGGUGUCGUUUUUCGAAAUUUGUUAACUUAAUAUAAUAGAAGAUGUUUCGUUUUAAAUUAAGAAAUGUUAAAAUUAUUAAGUUAAAAACAUUUCAUUUUAAUGACACUUAAAAUUAGACACAAUAUUAUAGGUUACUAACUAAAAAUUGAAAAAACAACAAUAAAUAAUAAAAAAUAAUAAUGAAAAAUUGAAAAAAUCAAAAAAUUCUUAAAAAAUUGCAAAAUAACCCUUUUUCGGGUUAAAAUUGAAAAAAGAUGUUACAUAAAAAAAGUUUGUAAGAUUUUCUAACAGCAUAUAUGCAAAGUAUUUUGAUUUAUUUGAAAAUAAUUGAAAAUAGAUUUUUCAAGGACGGUGUCGAGGUCACGGGGUCGGUGUCGUUUUUCGAAAUUUGUUAACUUAAUAUAAUAGAAGAUGUUUCGUUUUAAAUUAAGAAAUGUUAAAAUUAUUAAGUUAAAAACAUUUGAUUUUAAUGACACUUAAAAUUAGACACAAUAUUAUAGGUUACUAACUAAAAAUUGAAAAAACAACAAUAAAUAAUAAAAAAUAAUAAU